rnacentral:rRNA from 1 species
AGUGAACGCUGGCGGUAGGCCUAACACAUGCAAGUCGAACGGCAGCACAGAGGAGCUUGCUCCUUGGGUGGCGAGUGGCGGACGGGUGAGGAAUACAUCGGAAUCUACUCUGUCGUGGGGGAUAACGUAGGGAAACUUACGCUAAUACCGCAUACGACCUACGGGUGAAAGCAGGGGAUCUUCGGACCUUGCGCGAUUGAAUGAGCCGAUGUCGGAUUAGCUAGUUGGCGGGGUAAAGGCCCACCAAGGCGACGAUCCGUAGCUGGUCUGAGAGGAUGAUCAGCCACACUGGAACUGAGACACGGUCCAGACUCCUACGGGAGGCAGCAGUGGGGAAUAUUGGACAAUGGGCGCAAGCCUGAUCCAGCCAUACCGCGUGGGUGAAGAAGGCCUUCGGGUUGUAAAGCCCUUUUGUUGGGAAAGAAAUCCAGCUGGCUAAUACCCGGUUGGGAUGACGGUACCCAAAGAAUAAGC